GAGACCCUUUGUGACAUAAGAUGAGAAGCCAGGAAGCCUCUUUCCAGUCCCUGACAAAUGUGGACCGGGGUCUCGAGGAUGGAGUUGGACCAGACCUUCUCACCUUGGUAGUAGUGGGUAUUACAUUGGAAGAUUGCCAACGAAGCAGCUGAGUGGCUCAUAGAGGAUAAAGCAGUAGUAAGCCUACAGCCCAGGAAGAUUUGGGGGUCACUGCCCAUAGCAUUGACCGGGCUUGAAUCUCGCACCCUACCCCACGCCACACUGCCUUGGGGGCAUCGUGGACCUUCUCCAGCCACCUUUGUUUCAUGGGGUGCUGAGGAUGGAUUCUCAGACAGCAUUGAGCGCACUGGAGACUGAAGUCGCUGAAGACAUGAGACACACGUGAAAGGUGCUGCCACAUGUCCCAGCUCCGGGAUGGCCAGGCCCCGGCUGAAGCUUUGUUACUUCUCCCAACCCUGUUUCCAUUCAACCAGGCUCCUGUAGUGCACAGGGUUCAGCGGGCAUUUUAAAGACUUCGACAUUCAAGCACACAGGUUUCGAAUGGACACAGUUGUGAAGAGUGGAAUUGUCCAUAUUCGUGGCCAACGGCUUGGCUCCACGUUAUGGGAGGAAGCUGGGCUCCAGCUGACAGAUCCCCAAAGGGAAGAUCUUACUUACAAGCAGCACAUCUGGCUCAUUCUGCAGUUGUUGAUCUGAACAUGGGGGCUUAAUGGAUUUCAUCUACAGCCAGCCACCCUCGGUGUUUUGUUUUUCUUUUCUUUUGGUUUUUCAAGACAGGGUUCCUCUGUGUAGACCUGGCUGUCCUGGAUCUCCCUCUGUAGACCAGGCUGGCCUCCAACUCUGAGAUCCACCUGCUUCUGCCUCCCAAGUGCUGGGAUCAAAGGUAUGUGCCAUCCCACCUGGCUUCACACCUGAUAUUUACUAAGGCUUUGUUGCCCUGGUGCCCAAGUUUCUGAGAUGAACUCAUAGCAACCCACGUGCCAUCUAGGUCUGUCUUCUUUCAGUGGUCAUCAAGAAUGCAAGAGACUGGUGCUUCUUGGGGUUUCUUCAUCCCUGCGAGGAUGCCAUACCCAGGCAGCCUAUGACCCACUCAAUAACUGGCUGUGUGAGCUCUGUGAUUCCUCUGUUCCAGCCUUUCUGCUCAGCUCCAUUAGGAGGCAGAGAGGUGGUGUGUCGCCACUGGUACUAAAGUCAUCCUUUCUGGGCUCCUCUGCUGCCACCUGCCCCUAACCACAAUCUAAUCAGCAUCCAGCAGAGUGUGAUGACACACCGGACUUUCUCAGUGACAGCGUAAUGAAAGGGGGCCUUAACUCCUCUUCUUGUUUUCCCCAUCUAUCCCCUAACUUCGACUCCACCCAGUGUGAACUCACUCUGAUAAAUGAUACCGUUUGCUCUCUCCAUCCCUGGCCUGUUGAGAUCUGGAAACAAUUGGUUUGUCUGACACUUACUUCCACAGCUGAACUUGUCCAAAUCAAACCGUGGUCUCUCGUGCUUUCUUGGCUGUUUGCUUUAAGUCUGAAAUGGGCCCUGGCCUCACCAUCUCCCUCCAUCCUGUGUAUUUUGUUUGUUUUACAUGGGAGCGUGCCAAUAUAAAAUAAAAUGUCCAGUGAGGGCUCUGAAUAGCCUAGAGGAAAAGGGGAGGAAAGAUCCAAGAGGCCAGGGAAGAAGGAUUGGCUCUCUUGGAAACUUCUGCCUAACAGGGCCUUGCUAGCCAAUGGCCCAGGCCGGAUGUCUGUGGAGCCAUGGUCUAAAUGGGCCUCAUGUUCCUAGCAACCUGUUUUAUGAAAUAUAGCCCCUCCCCCAAUGGCCACAAGUUCUUUAAUAAUCUUUUCCUUUAAGAUUUAAAAAAAAACAAUCUUUAGUUUGUUUCAUGGUAAAAUAUAGUUCAAUUAUUUCCAAAUGUACAGUUUGUUGACAUUAAGUACAUUCAUACAAAAUAAGACCCAAUUGCACAUCAUGUAGCAAUCAACCCUAUUUUUAGAACUUUCUUGUGCCAAUGGAAACUUUGAACCUAUUUAAAAAGAACACCCCCACCCCCGACCCCCGCCUCUCCUUCACCUGUAGCUUCUGUUCUCUCUCUGUGAAGCUGUGUGUUUUGGUGCCGAGACUGGGUUUGGAAGCCUGGCUUCUUUGACCGAAAACCAAAGCCUUAUGGGCUGCUCUUAGGUUCUGGAUAACACAGUGGACGGUGGGACGGAUCCUUGAACAAUCAGGAAAUAGCCAUGAUUCACCUGAGUUACUCAUGCAGCUGCCAGCAAAACCUUGCAUCAUCUUCAUGUCGUGCGAGCCUUCUAGAAGCUUUUCUUC